GAUGAACGCUGGCGGCGUGCCUAAUACAUGCAAGUCGAGCGAACAGAUGAGGAGCUUGCUCCUCUGACGUUAGCGGCGGACGGGUGAGUAACACGUGGAUAACCUACCUAUAAGACUGGGAUAACUUCGGGAAACCGGAGCUAAUACCGGAUAAUAUAUUGAACCGCAUGGUUCAAUAGUGAAAGACGGUUUUGCUGUCACUUAUAGAUGGAUCCGCGCCGCAUUAGCUAGUUGGUAAGGUAACGGCUUACCAAGGCAACGAUGCGUAGCCGACCUGAGAGGGUGAUCGGCCACACUGGAACUGAAACACGGUCCAGACUCCUACGGGAGGCAGCAGUAGGGAAUCUUCCGCAAUGGGCGAAAGCCUGACGGAGCAACGCCGCGUGAGUGAUGAGGGUCUUCGGAUCGUAAAACUCUGUUAUUAGGGAAGAACAAAUGUGUAAGUAACUAUGCACGUCUUGACGGUACCUAAUCAGAAAGCCACGGCUAACUACGUG
rnacentral:rRNA from 1 species